rnacentral:rRNA from 1 species
AUUAAUAAGCGGAGGAAAAGAAACUAACAAGGAUUCCCCCAGUAACGGCGAGUGAAGCGGGACCAGCUCAAAUUUGAAAUCUCCGAUGCCUGCAUCGGCGAGUUGUAGUUGCGAGAAGCACUUUCUAGGUGGAUCGGUCGUGCCUAAGUUGCUUGGAACAGCACGUCGCAGAGGGUGACAACCCCGUCUGUGGUGUGGCCGGCCGCCGACGAUGUGCUUUCGAAGAGUCGGGUUGUUUGGGAAUGCAGCCCAAAAUGGGUGGUAAACUCCAUCUAAAGCUAAAUACUGGCGUGAGACCGAUAGCGAACAAGUACCGUGAGGGAAAGAUGAAAAGAACUUUGAAAAGAGAGUUAAAAAGUACGUGAAACCGUUAAAAGGGAAACGAAUGGACUCAGCAAUGCGCCGCUUGAGAUUCAGCCGGUGGGUGGAAUCGGCCCGGGGUUUGCGGAUCCGAACGGACCGCGGUCUCGGGCUCGUUUCUCCCCGCCGUCGCACUUCUCUUGGGCGCGCGUCAACGUCGGUUGGGACUGGGUCUGAAAGUUGCCGGGAAGGUAGGUCUGGACCUCCGGGUCCGUUCUAUUACAGCCCGGUCUCUCAUGGCUCGGGCCCGACCGAGGAGUCGCAGCGCAUGCCUUUUGUGGCUAGGGUCCCGUCCUUCCGGCCGGUUGUCGAAUGCGGUGGACUGCUUGCAGUGCUCUGCGACUGCUGCCGGUCGUUGGGGUGGUGAUCUCGUACCAUGCGCUUGGGAUGUUGGCGG